UUGGCUCAGGAUGAACGCUGGCGGCGUGCUUAACACAUGCAAGUCGAACGAGGUAUAAGGACGGAAGUUUUCGGACGGAAGAUCUUGUACUGAGUGGCGGACGGGUGAGUAACGCGUGGGAAACCUGCCCUGUUCCGGGGGAUACCAGUUGGAAACGACUGUUAAUACCGCAUAAGCGCACAGCACCGCAUGGUGCAGUGUGAAAAACUCCGGUGGAACAGGAUGGUCCCGCGUCUGAUUAGGCAGUUGGCAGGGUAACGGCCUACCAAACCGACGAUCAGUAGCCGGCCUGAGAGGGUGAACGGCCACAUUGGGACUGAGACACGGCCCAAACUCCUACGGGAGGCAGCAGUGGGGAAUA
rnacentral:rRNA from 1 species